rnacentral:rRNA from 1 species
CCUACGGGAGGCAGCAGUGGGGAAUAUUGGGCAAUGGAGGCAACUCUGACCCAGCAACGCCGCGUGAAUGAUGAAGGUCUUCGGAUUGUAAAGUUCUGUGAUGGGGGAUGAACACAAUGACGGUACUCCAAUAGCAAGCCACGGCUAACUACGUGCCAGCAGCCGCGGUAAUCCGUAGGUGGCAAGCGUUAUCCGGAAUGACUGGGCGUAAAGGGUGCGUAGGUGGUUUAGUAAGUUGGCGGUGUAAUUCCGGGGCUCAACCUCGGCGCUACCGCCAAAACUAUUGAACUUGAGUGCAGGAGAGGUAAGCGGAAUUCCUGGUGUAGCGGUGAAAUGCGUAGAUAUUAGGAGGAACACCAGUGGCGAAGGCGGCUUACUGGACUGUAACUGACGUUGAGGCUCGAAAGCGUGGGGAGCAAACAGGAUUAGAUACCCCUGUAGUC